rnacentral:rRNA from 1 species
UGCUAGUCGCACGGGCUCACACCCGUGGCGAAUAGCUCCGUAACACGUGGCCAAACUACCCUCUGGACUGGGACACCCUCGGGAAACUGAGGCUAAUCCUAGAUACUGCUUUCAUGUUGGAAUACAGAAAGCCGGAAAUGGUCCGCCGCCGGAGGACGUGACUGCGGCCGAUUAGGUAGACGGUGGGGUAACGGCCCACCGUGCCGAUAAUCGGUACGGGUUGUGAGAGCAAGAACCCGGAGACGGACUCUGAGACAAGAGUCCGGGCCCUACGGGGCGCAGCAGACGCGAAACCUUUACACUGCACGACAGUGCGAUAAGGGGAUCCCGAGUGCGAGGGCAUACAGUCCUCGCUUUUCGUGACCGUAAGGUGGUCUCAGAAUAAGGGCUGGGCAAGACCGGUGCCAGCCGCCGCGGUAAUACCGGCAGCCCGAGUGAUAGCCACUCUUAUUGGGCCUAAAGCGUCCGU